rnacentral:rRNA from 1 species
AGGACGAACGCUGGCGGCACGCUUAACACAUGCAAGUCGAACGGAGUUUAGAGAGCUUGCUUUUAAAACUUAGUGGCGGACGGGUGAGUAACACGUGAGCAAUCUGCCUUCAGAGGGGGAUAGCAGUUGGAAACGACUGAUAAUACCGCAUAAUAUAGUAGGAUCGCAUGAUUUAACUAUCAAAGAUUUAUCGCUGAAAGAUGAGCUCGCGUCUGAUUAGAUAGUUGGUGAGGUAACGGCUCACCAAGUCGACGAUCAGUAGCCGGACUGAGAGGUUGAACGGCCACAUUGGGACUGAGACACGGCCCAGACUCCUACGGGAGGCAGCAGUGGGGAAUAUUGCACAAUGGGCGCAAGCCUGAUGCAGCGAUGCCGCGUGAGGGAAGAAGGUUUUAGGAUUGUAAACCUCUGUCUUCAGGGACGAUAAUGACGGUACCUGAGGAGGAAGCUCCGGCUAACUACGUGCCAGCCGCGGC